CCCUUAGAUGUUCUGGGCCGCACGCGCGCUACACUGAUGCUUUCAACGAGCCUAUCCUUGACCGACAGGUCCGGGUAAUCUUUGAAUCUGCAUCGUGACGGGGAUAGAUUAUUGCAAUUAUUAAUCUUCAACGAGGAAUGCCUAGUAGGCGCAAGUCAUCAGCUUGCGUCGAUUACGUCCCUGCCCUUUGUACACACCGCCCGUCGCUCCUACCGAUUGGGUGUGCUGGUGAAAUGUUCGGAUCGGCCGUUUGUCGCGGUUUCCGCGGCUCGUGGCUGAGAAGUUCAUUAAACCCUCCCACCUAGAGGAAGGAGAAGUCGUAACA
rnacentral:rRNA from 1 species